rnacentral:lncRNA from 1 species
UUGGAGAUUUUCGAUCAAUGUUUUAAAAUCAGGUUUUUGUUUUUCGAUCGCCGAUUCGAUUCUUUGUGUAAGGACUGAGAUUUUUGACAGUGCUACUAAACUCUCUGUUGAUGAUGUUUAUGUGUGUAAUUUAAUUACAUAAGCACUCGUCAAGUUUCGGGCGAAAAUGAGCUAAAAUGGAGAAGAUACGCGACUUUCAGUUUUCACUUAAGUGAAUAGUAACUCCGGUUUUCCGGGGAAGCCACAGAGUAGAGUUGGCUUCUGGUGCGUAUCGGACUCCGUUCAUAUCAGUCCAAUAGCUCGUUUCGACCGGUUCAGCUGUUCUGGAACUAGUGGCGCUGAUGGAUUUUGAGUUUGACGCACGGAUUUCGAGAAAAUCCAAAAAUACAUGCUUUAUAUGUAUUUGUGUGUGUGUUUCCUUCUAUUGGAAGAAGGUUGGAUUUUGUUGUGAAUCCGUGGUCGAUCGAAAUGAAUCGAAAGUGUAGCUUUGUUGUCUCCGAGGUGCUGAUCGCACUGGUGCAAUCCGUUCGCAAAUCUGACGGACGGAUCUGCGGAGAUCGCGCGUUGAUCGAGGAGAGGUCGGUGAUGGCAAAACGGUAAUUUCGCAAAAGUUGCGACAUUUUAUGUACCGUUUCGCGUGAAAUCGCACGUGGAGGGGUUUAUGCAUGUUUUAUUCGUGCGGUGAGGGACUAAGAUUAAAUGGUU